GAGUUUGAUCUUGGCUCAGAUUGAACGCUGGCGGCGUGCCUAACACAUGCAAGUCGAGCGGUAACAGGUGUAGCAAUACAUGCUGACGAGCGGCGGACGGGUGAGUAACGCUUGGGAAUCUGCCUGAUAGUGGGGGACAACCCGGGGAAACUCGGGCUAAUACCGCAUACGCACUACGGUGGAAAGCCGGGGACCGCAAGGCCUGGCGCUAACAGAUGAGCCCAAGUCGGAUUAGCUAGUUGGUAGGGUAACGGCCUACCAAGGCGACGAUCCGUAACUGGUCUGAGAGGACGACCAGUCACACCGG
rnacentral:rRNA from 1 species